UACGGAGGGGGCAAGCGUUGUUCGGAAUUACUGGGCGUAAAGGGCGCGUAGGCGGCCUUCUAAGUCGGACGUGAAAGCCCCAGGCUUAACCUGGGAACUGCGUCCGAUACUGGGAGGCUUGGAUUCGGGAGAGGGAUGUGGAAUUCCAGGUGUAGCGGUGAAAUGCGUAGAUAUCUGGAGGAACACCGGUGGCGAAGGCGGCAUCCUGGACCGACAUCGACGCUGAGGCGCGAAAGCUAGGGGAGCAAACGGG
rnacentral:rRNA from 1 species